GGGGCCGAUUCCAAGCUACCCGACAUGCAGGCGGGCUGGGAGCAGAUGUGCACCAACGUGAUGGCGGGUCUGUCGGGCCUCAACAUGGUCUACGAGGCCG
rfam:Oceanibulbus sp. HI0023 HI0023_c166, whole genome shotgun sequence.